rnacentral:rRNA from 1 species
AUACGGAGGGUGCAAGCGUUAUGCGGAAUCAUUGGGUUUAAAGGGUCCGUAGGCGGGCUAUUAAGUCAGAGGUGAAAUCCCACAGCUCAACUGUGGAACUGCCUUUGAUACUGAUAGUCUUGAGUUACAGUGAAGUAGAUAGAAUAUGUAGUGUAGCGGUGAAAUGCAUAGAUAUUACAUAGAAUACCGAUUGCGAAGGCAGUCUACUAACUGUAUACUGACGCUGAUGGACGAAAGCGUGGGGAGCGAACAGGAUUAGAAACCCUAGUAGUCC